rnacentral:rRNA from 1 species
AACGCGAAGAACCUUACCUGGUCUUGACAUCCCUCUGACCGAUCCGUAAUGGGGUCUUUCCUUCGGGACAGAGGAGACAGGUGGUGCAUGGUUGUCGUCAGCUCGUGUCGUGAGAUGUUGGGUUAAGUCCCGCAACGAGCGCAACCCUUAUCUUUAGUAGCCAGCAGGUAAAGCUGGGCACUCUAGAGAGACUGCCAGGGAUAACCUGGAGGAAGGUGGGGAUGACGUCAAAUCAUCAUGCCCCUUAUGACCAGGGCUACACACGUGCUACAAUGGCGUAAACAAAGGGAAGCGACCCCGCGAGGGUAAGCAAAUCUCAAAAAUAACGUCUCAGUUCGGAUUGUAGUCUGCAACUCGACUACAUGAAGCUGGAAUCGCUAGUAAUCGCGAAUCAGAAUGUCGCGGUGAAUACGUUCCGGGUCUUGUACACACCG